rnacentral:rRNA from 1 species
GACGAACGCUGGCGGCGUGCUUAACACAUGCAAGUCGAACGAAAAUACCAAGCUUGCUUGGUUGAUUAGUGGCGAACGGGUGAGUAACACGUGAGUAACCUGCCCCUUACUUUCCUGGAUAACUGCUCGAAAGGGUAGCUAAUACGGGAUAUUCUGACCAGCCUGCAUGGGUUGGUUUGGAAAGGUUGUUUUUCUGGUAAGGGAUGGGCUCGCGGCCUAUCAGCUUGUUGGUGGGGUGAUGGCCUACCAAGGCUUUGACGGGUAGCCGGCCUGAGAGGGUGGACGGUCACACUGGGACUGAGAUACGGCCCAGACUCCUACGGGAGGCAGCAGUGGGGAAUAUUGCACAAUGGGCGCAAGCCUGAUGCAGCGACGCCGCGUGAGGGAUGAAGGCCUUCGGGUUGUAAGCCUCUUUCGUCAGGGAACAAGGCACUGCUUUUGUGGUGGUGUUGAGGGUACCUGGAUAAGAAGCGCCGGCUAACUACGUG